AAUGAACGCUGGCGGCGUGCUUAACACAUGCAAGUCGAACGAGAAAGGGAUUGCUUGCAAUCCUGAGUAGAGUGGCGCACGGGUGAGUAACACGUAAAUAAUCUACCCUCAAGUCUGGGAUAACUGUUCGAAAGGGCAGCUAAUACCGGAUAAAGUUUUUCCGCAUAAGCGGAAUUAUGAAAGAUUGCCUCUUCUUGAAAGCAAUUGUUUGGGGAUGAGUUUGCGGACCAUUAGCUUGUUGGUGGGGUAAAGGCCUACCAAGGCUGCGAUGGUUAGCUGGUCUGAGAGGAUGAUCAGUCACACUGGAACUGGAACACGGUCCAG
rnacentral:rRNA from 1 species